rnacentral:rRNA from 1 species
AGAGUUUGAUCAUGGCUCAGAUUGAACGCUGGCGGUAUGCUUAACACAUGCAAGUCGAACGGUAGCAGCUCUUCGGAGGCUGACGAGUGGCGGACGGGUGAGUAACGCGUAGGAAUCUGCCUAUUAGUGGGGGACAACUUGUGGAAACGCAAGCUAAUACCGCAUACGCCCUACGGGGGAAAGAGGGGAUCUUCGGACCUUUCGCUAAUAGAUGAGCCUGCGUUAGAUUAGCUAGUUGGUGGGGUAAGAGCCUACCAAGGCGACGAUCUAUAGCUGUUCUGAGAGGAAGAUCAGCCACACUGGGACUGAGACACGGCCCAGACUCCUACGGGAGGCAGCAGUGGGGAAUAUUGGACAAUGGGCGAAAGCCUGAUCCAGCAAUACCGCGUGUGUGAAGAAGGCCUUAGGGUUGUAAAGCACUUUCAAUUGGGAGGAAAAACAAGGGUUAAUACCCCUUGUCUUGACAUUACCUUUAGAAGAAGCACCGGCUAACUCCGUG